rnacentral:ncRNA from 1 species
CCCAUUGAGUUUAAGCAUAUCAAUAAGUGAAGAAAAAGAAACUUACUAGGAUUCCUUUAGUAAUAACGAGCGAACCGGGAAUAGCCUAGCUUGAGAAUCGAGCCCCUUCAGUAUUUAGAUUGUAGUAUGGAGAAGCUUCCUCAAUGGUGGACUGGGUCUAAGCCCAUUGAAAGGGGGCGCUAGAGAGGGUGAGAGCCUAGUUGUGCUUGAACCUUGUCGAACCGUUAGGCGUUGUCUACGAGUUAAAUUGUUUGAAAUGCAGCCCAAAUCAGGUAGUAAAUUCCCAAUAAGGCUAAAUACGAGCGAGAAACCGUAGCAAAAACUACUUUAAGGGAAAGAUGAAAAUAACUUUAAAAGGAGAUUUAGAAAGUGCUUGAAAUUUUUAGGAAGGAAGCAGAUGGAGGUCGGCGAUGCACCUCGAUCGUAUGUGGAAUGGCCAAAAGCUAGUUCAUCGAUCGGCUUAGGGGGCGAAUCAACGCAGAUUGCAAGGGCGGACCAAGUAUAGGCUUUUGACACUCCUGUAGAGACUCCAUCACAGUGAUUGCGGACUAUAGCGAGCGCCAUCACAACAUGCCUCGGCACCUGCGAGCUCUCUAUUCGGUCGUCUUGAAACACGG